ACCACAGCCAAGGAACAGAAAGGACUUCUAGCUUGUUACUAAUCCUCUGACUGCCUAGCUGAGCACACACAAACUGUUCUUAAACACUGGGCUGGAACCAGGACCUCCAGCUAUUCUCAUAUUCUCAGAUCUCUCUCUCUCUCUCUCUCUCUCUCUCUCUCUCUCUCUCUCUCUGUCUCUCUCUCUCUCUGCUAAUACCUUCCAGCCCCUAGACAAUGGUAAGAAACUUUGCUUUUCAUGGAUUAUGGCCAGAGGCCACAUGUUUUAAGGCAAGUGUAGACAUUAACAUAUCCAUUUUCUCAGUGGGGAUUUACAUAUACCACUUCAAUAGGAAUCAGUAGCUUAUGAAAAUUCCCAGUAUUUUUUGUUUAAGAACAUAAACACUAAGAUUGAAAAAUACAUCUAAGUCAAAGUUCUGAAUUUUCUUGGUGUUACUCACUUUCUGUGAAAGAAAAUAUAGCAGCUCACUGUUUUCUUAUAUUCUAAGAUCAGCUGAGCUCAGUGUAUAUAGGUGUGGGGGCAUGAUAGAUUAUAGAAGUAUAAUAUUAAGCCAGAUAAUGUUUGGUUUUUUCAUAGUUUCAAGGUGAGAUUUACAUUGUCAACAAAGAAAGGUUGCUAAUAAACAAUCAAUUGAAAAGGAAUAAAAAGGGGAUAUUUACACCAAUUUCAUUAUCUCAAUGAAACCAAAGUAUUGUUCCGAAGACUAACAUUACUGGUAGAUCAUACCUUAUUUUGAAAUGAUCCUAUGAGCUAUAAAAUUUAGUGUUUUUUACAACACACAUCUAAGUCUUAAAUAGAAAGUGCCUUUUUCUUCGACUUCUCUGUCAUGAUUAAUGACCUCCCUUUUGGUGGCUCUUGGUAUCUGGGAACCAGUCAAGCUUUGGGCAUGGAAGGCAAUGUCCUUUCUAGGAAGGUCAGAUCCAGUUUACUGUUUCUUCAUAUGGAUGCUGUGCUCAACACCCCCAUUUGUCUUUGCUUCUGCUUUUGAGUCCUUCCUCACUGUACAAGGUUAUAGAAAAAGUUUCCAUCAAAAUCCCACCAGGAUGUGUGGCCACAGAAAGAAGGCUUCAUACUGAGAUAUUAUCUGUGUAGGGAGUAACUGAAAGAUGCUUUAUCUAGGAAGGAAUCUUUACUGACAUUGAAUAGAGGUAAGUGUUCAUGUUAGCAAAGUUACGAGAAAGGUGACAUGAAAACUUUGAAUGAUUUUGGUACAACUCCCUGGAACUCUAUAGGCAUCAGACCUAUACAUUACCUGGAAGACAGCUCACUCACACUAGAAAAGGGGUUUUCUAUUGACAGAGAGUACAGUGGCAAAGUCUCAGGUCCAACAGCCACAGCAUUACCUGAAAGAAACGGAGAAUUUCUAUCACUAAAGGUAGAUUGAAGGUUGAACUUACAAUGUACAGCUAGCAUUCUUGAAUAGGUUGGAGAGAGCUUAAAACAAAUGUUCAAACGGUAAUGACCUCAGCCUUGGUGGUUUGUAAGCUUUCUGGGUGUUAAGCAUUCUUUGUAGCUAUGGAUAGCACUGAAAGUUUUCUUCAGGUAAUUAGGCAAUGUGAAGAAUUAUUUGAUACCUCAUAGCAUGCACGGAACAUGUUGUGAGUGUGCAAUUGAGAUCACAGAAGUAACAAAAACGAAAGGGUAAGGAACAUGAAAAAUAUAAGGAAUUGUAUCCUAUUAGGAAUAAGCCUAAUAUGUUGACUAAAAUCAGAGAAAGAGUCCAUGCAAGUAUAAAUACAAAACAAGGCAUAAAUUCUUUCUGUUCUGAGAUGAUGCCUUGUGUGCAUAUACUACAAAUAUUGUUGUAUAAUUCAACUAUGAGAUUAUAAUCGGUAGUAGGCGUGUUUGUGUAAAGAGAGAUGAGGUGUGUUAAAUGUGCAGCUCAAACAUUUGUUGGAGACUGUGACAUCACUAAGUCACCGGAAGCCCAAGCGUUAAUUUCUCAUACAGGCCUCGAAUAUACCAGAGCCUGUCUUGGUCCUGAGAUGGGCUCCAGGUUCUUCUUCAUGGUCUCUAGUCUCCUGUGUGCAAAACACAUGGAGGCUGCAGUCACCCAAAGCCCAAGAAACAAGGUGACAGUAACAGGAAAAACUGUGACAUUGAGCUGUCACCAGACUAAUAGCCACAGCAACAUGUACUGGUAUCGGCAAGAUGUGGGGCAUGGUCUGAGGCUGAUCUAUUACUCAUAUGGUGCUGGCACCUUUGAAAAAGGAGAUAUCCCUGAUGGAUACAAUGCCUCCAGAACAAGACAAGAAGACUUCUCCCUCAUUCUGAAGUUGGCUUCCCCCUCUCAGACAUCUGUGUACUUCUGUGCCAGCAGUGAUACACAGUGACGCAUGACUUCCUCCUCUCUGCACAGAAAGGAACUUAGGAGAACAAAGUGCCUGUGUGUCUAGGAAGUGCCUGCCUCAGAGUCACCGAACUCUGACAAACUAGGAACCUUACAACAUAGAUCUCAGCUUGGCUGGAGGCCACUCUAACACUGUUUCAUAGGAGCUUGUCUCCUCUUUGGAAUUUUUGUUUCAGAGAGUGACAUCCUAACCACCUUAUCUAUACCAGUGGCCUUCAGUGAGCUCUUCAACCCCUGCUAGGGGGUCAAUUACAUGAUCUCUUUCCUGGCUCUAUUAAAUCUAUAGGUCAGUAGCUCCUUUUUUUUUUUUUAUUAGAACAAAUGGUCAUAAGGUCCUAUGCCAUCAGUCAUCUGUAUCACCAGCUUUCACUCUUCCCUGGUUCAUUCCACCUAAAUUUAUCUGCAGUCAGUACUUACUCACAUGUGUUGUGCUGUUCUGACCUUGAGAUAUUUUUCCUAGGACAAUUCUUGUGUACUAAAGAUAUACCUUUCCCUCUUAUUUCUAGAACUCAUUUUCCCUAGCAAAUAUAAUUCAGGGAGAAUUUUUUUUCUUUAUCCUUUUUUAAGAUGUUAGUUUAGUUACAUUGUUUCUUGCCCUACCUUUCCCUCUAUUUACCUGCCCCCCACAUUAAAAUUCAUGGUCUCUUA